CAGGGUGGCCAAAUGUCCUGGUUUGCCUGGGACUGAGGGGUUAGAAGGUAUAGCAGGACUCUUGAUGCUCAAACUUGGGUUUGUCCCAGGCAGAUCAGGGCAGUUGGCCACCCUGAUCUCUA
rnacentral:pre_miRNA from 1 species